rnacentral:rRNA from 1 species
UACGUAGGGUCCGAGCGUUGUCCGGAAUUACUGGGCGUAAAGGGCUCGUAGGCGGUCUGUAGCGUCGGUAGUGAAAACUCAGGGCUCGACCCUGAGCGUGCUUUCGAUACGGGCAGACUAGAGGUAUGCAGGGGAGAAUGGAAUUCCUGGUGUAGCGGUGGAAUGCGCAGAUAUCAGGAGGAACACCGGUGGCGAAGGCGGUUCUCUGGGCAUUACCUGACGCUGAGGAGCGAAAGCAUGGGGAGCGAACAGGAUUAGAUACCCU